UGNGGGGAAUUUUGGAGCAAUGGGGGCAACCCUGAUCCAGCAAUGCCGCGUGAGUGAAGAAGGCCUUCGGGUUGUAAAGCUCUUUUGUCCGGAAAGAAAUCGCUUGGGCUAAUAUCCUGAGUGGAUGACGGUACUGGAAGAAUAAGCACCGGCUAACUACGUGCCAGCAGCCGCGGUAAUACGUAGGGUGCGAGCGUUAAUCGGAAUUACUGGGCGUAAAGCGUGCGCAGGCGGUUGUGCAAGACAGAUGUGAAAUCCCCGGGCUUAACCUGGGAACUGCAUUUGUGACUGCACGGCUAGAGUGUGUCAGAGGGGGGUAGAAUUCCACGUGUAGCAGUGAAAUGCGUAGAUAUGUGGAGGAAUACCGAUGGCGAAGGGCAGCCCCCCUGGGAUGACACUGACGCUCAUGCACGAAACGCGUGGGGAGCAAACAGGAUUAGAUACCCUGGUAGUCCACGCCCUAAACGAUGUCAACUAGUUGUCGGGGAUUAAUUUCCUUGGUAACGCAGCUAACGCGUGAAGUUGACCGCCUGGGGAGUACGGUCGCAAGAUUAAAACUCAAAGGAAUUGACGG
rnacentral:rRNA from 1 species